UGGGUCUCGCUCGUUACCUGACUUAACAGGAUGCUUCACAGUACGAACUGGCGACGGCCAUGCACCUCCUCUCAGCGAUUCAGGCAAGGUCUUCAGCCUGGCCUACAUAUUGCUGUCGUCCCCGGUGAGUUGUCCGGCGUUGAGUCCAAUUAAACCGCAGGCUCCACCCGUUGUUGUGCUCCCCCGCCAAUUCCUUUAAGUUUCAGCCUUGCGGCCGUACUUCCCAGGUGGCUCGCUUCACGGCUUCCCUGCGGCACCAGACACGGUCGCGCCAUGCCUGACACCUAGCGAGCAUCGUUUACGGCUGGGACUACCCGGGUAUCUAAUCCGGUUCGUGCCCCCAGCUUUCGUCCCUCACCGUCGAACCCGUUCUGGUAAGACGCCUUCGCCACAGGUGGUCCCACAGGGAUUACAAGAUUUCACUCCUACCCCUGUAGUACCUCUUACCUCUCCCGGUUCCAAGUCUGGCAGUAUCCCCCGAAAGCCUAACAGUUGAGCUGUCAGAUUUCCCGGAGGACUGACCAAACCGGCUACGGACCCUUUAGACCCAAUAAUCAAGAUCACCACUCGGGCCGCCGGUGUUACCGCGGCGGCUGGCACCGGUCUUGCCCGGCCCUUGCUAACAGGUGUAUUUUACACACCUGGACAGCCAGCAUAUGAUGCUAGCACUCGGUGUCCCCUUAUCACGGUUUCCCGCAUUGUAAAGUUUUCGCGCCUGCUGCGCCCCGUAGGGCCUGGAUUCAUGUCUCAGAAUCCAUCUCCGGGCUCUUGCUCUCACAACCCGUACCCGUUGUAGGCUAGUAGGUACAUUACACCCACUACUACCUGAUAGGCCGCAGACCCAUCCUUGGGCAGACGAAUCCAUUUUACGCAUAAAGCAUUCCAGCAUAUGUGCGUUAUCCGGAAUUAUCCCCAGUUUCCUGGGGUUAUGCCGGACCCAAGGGCAGGUUAUCCACGUGUUACUGAGCAGUACGCCAUGUUCACGAAGAACAUAUGACUCGCAUGGCUUAGGCGAACACCGAUAGCAGUAACCUCUGGCAGGAUCAACCGGA
rnacentral:rRNA from 1 species